AACGAACGCUGGCGGCAUGCCUAACACAUGCAAGUCGAACGAGACCUCCGUGUCUAGUGGCGCACGGGUGCGUAACGCGUGGGAACCGGCCCUUAGGCUCCGAAUAAUUCCUUUAAAGGGGUGCUAACAUCGGGUAACGUCCUCGAACCAAAGAUUGAUCGUCUUUGGAUGGGCCCGCGUUGGAUUAGCUAGUUGGUAGGGUAAAAGCCUACCAAGGCGACGAUCCUUAGCUGGUCUGAGAGGAUGAUCAGCCACACUGGGACUGAGACACGGCCCAGACUCCUACGGGAGGCAGCAGUGGGGAAUAUUGGACAAUGGGCGAAAGCCUGAUCCAGCAAUGCCGCGUGAGUGAUGAAGGCCUUAGGGUUGUAAAGCUCUUUUACCCGGGAUGAUAAUGACAGUACCGGGAGAAUAAGCUCCGGCUAACUCCGUG
rnacentral:rRNA from 1 species